CGGCAGGCAGGCGCCGGAAUUUGUGCGUGCAGGCUGUAACAGACAUGCUGUGCGAUGCGUGAGUGUGGCGUGAAAGCGCAGGGCAGCCCCAGCCGUGCUUCUCUGCGGGUGGUGCUCUAUUGAGUUCUAAUGCUGGAUGCUGCCAUGAAGAAGUCAGAGGCCAGCCUGAUAUGCCCCCACUUGCUCCAUGUAAGGUGCUGGGGACAGAGAGGUGAACGCGAACGAGACAUUCAAGACAUCUGCCCCAUGGAGUGUAUGUUCCAGGUGGGGGAAAUAGACAAAAAAGAAGCUAUACUGAAUAUUUGCUCUUCGCCCAAUGACCUUUAAAAUUUCUUUCUACAUUUUGAUUAUUCCGGAUAUCUUGAGUUCCUCCUUCCCAAAGCAGAAGCCUGCCUCUCUUGAAGCGAAGGUGCAGGCAUGUGACCUACUUCCCUCCAAUCGCACUCACCGAUCGAUCUGAGAUACCAAUGGCGGGGCGCGGGGGGGUGGGCAGUGAGCUCUGUGUGGGUCCAGCUGCAUGCUAGCCUGGGUGGUGGCCAAAGCGGUAUGGCUCUGGAGUCAGUGACGACAGCAGCAGCUCCCACAUCGGUCCGAUUCUGUUGUGUGCUUCUUGGACAUGCUCCUGAAAACUGCAUCUAGAGUCUGUUUCUUCACCAUCCGAUAAGCUAACAUCCCUGAGUAAAUUCCCUUUCUACUUAAACUGGCCAGAAUGGACUCUGCUGUGUGCAAGCAAGAAUACUGUGAAUGUGCAAAGAAGUAAAUAUACACACUGAGGAAA